CACGUAGUUAGCCGUGGCUUUCUGAUUAGGUACCGUCAAGACGUGCACAGUUACUUACACAUUUGUUCUUCCCUAAUAACAGAGUUUUACGAUCCGAAGACCUUCAUCACUCGCGCGGCGUUGCUCCGUCAGGCUUUCGCCCAUUGCGGAAGAUUCCCUACUGCUGCCUCCCGUAGGAGUCUGGACCGUGUCUCAGUUCCAGUGUGGCCGAUCACCCUCUCAGGUCGGCUACGUAUCGUUGCCUUGGUAAGCCAUUACCCCACCAACUAGCUAAUACGGCGCGGGUCCAUCUAUAAGUGAUAGCAAAACCAUCUUUCACUUUAGAACCAUGCGGUUCUAAAUAUUAUCCGGCAUUAGCCCCGGUUUCCCGGAGUUAUUCCAGUCUUAUAGGUAGGUUACCCACGUGUUACUCACCCGUCCGCCGCUAACGUCAAAGGAGCAAGCUCCUUAUCUGUUCGCUCGACUUGCAUGUAUUAGGCACGCCGCCAGCGUUCAUCCUGAGCCAGGAUCAAACUCU
rnacentral:rRNA from 1 species